GCUUAACGAGCUCAAAGUAACUGAUCCGGCCGGAUGACCAAAGUAGGAUGGUUUGCGAUCAAUGAGUCCACCUCCAGAACUGUUUGAAUUGGAGUUCGAGCAUUGCAUCUUUAUACCUGAAACAAAAUGGAGAGUGGAGGUGGACCACACAUGAAGGGACAAGAGGAAAUGAAGAGAAGAAGUGAAAGACCUCAUGAUACGAAAUCAGCCCUUGUAUAGGUAUGAUAAAUCCGAAGCUCCGGCAGCUCUCAAGUAGUUCUUCAAGUACGCACUUCACUCGUGUCUCGACUCCUAUCUUUCUCUCUUUAUUUCCCUCUCGUACUUGUUCAUCUUUUCUUUUUUACAAACUUUCCUGCAUACUUAUAUUUUACAUCUUUACGAAAACUAUCAAAUUCUGCCUUCAUCAAGAAGAUAAAGAAAAAAAUGAUACAAAAACAGCAUUAGAUAUUAUCUAAUCUAAAUGCCCUAUAAGAAACGUAGCAAUGCAUACAGAAAUCGUUAUAGUUAAAAGUAAAAUUAUGCACGAGUUGAUAAUACCGAAGUAAAAUCGCUGAUAGAUCGGUUUUGAAGGUAGCACGAUUAAAAGCGAACGAUGGCAUCUCGAUGGCAAUUGGAAUUUGGUUUAAUUCCAGAUCGAAGGCAAGUGUAACGAACGUCUUAAAACAGCGUCGUGUGUGGUCUCAAUGGCAGUGCCGUCAGUCAAAAUCUCUCUCGACCUCUCUACCUCCGUCGAAUCCAAAGUUUUCUGGCUGCUUGAGCGAUCUGUUUCUGCGCUCGUGCGCGCGAAUUUCUCUGUCCUUUUCCUUUUCUUUCGAACACGGGACACGUACCGUGAAUCGAAAUACGAUGGCAGUAAAAGAAGAGCACAGAAGCGGUUGCCUGAGCGAAUAUCAGCGCCCGUCGUUGCCAACAACGAUGCCAUAGUCGCGGAGUAGAGAGAUCGGCUCCAGAAAUACAUCCCGAGACCGGGGUAGAAGAAAAAGAGAAAGAGGAAAACUGGGGCCUACCGAGGCGUCUGCAGAUUGAUCUCGUUUACACUUUACUGACUGAACGAGAAAAGAGAAGGAGGAGCAGGAGGAAGGGUGCGUGGGUGAUAAGUUUUGGGUGCAUUAAUCUCAAGUGGAUCUUUUAUUGGAUUUCAAGCUUGGAAAAUGUUCAAGACGGACCACAGUUGUUCUUGUGAAACUCGUCGAAGAACUUUUUAAACGACUAGACUAUGGUUCUAAGGAAACUGGCGCCUGUAUGGUCGUAAACAGUCUGCGAUUUUCCAUAUGGCCCCCCGACUGUCGUGAAUUGUCAUUGUUGCCUUCGACUUAAGAAAAUCUCCUGCUAGUCUUGCAACUCUCGAUUAGAUCAAGAUCAAUAUCUACACUUUCAGGAACGUAUAAGCAGGGCCUUUAAUUAUACUCAUUAUUUAUACUCAAUCAUACAUUUCUCCAACUGUCUUUCUGAUCUGAAAAUUAUGUACCUAUUUUCUUAUUUUGUUUAGUAUUUUAUAGCGAAUCAAUCAUUGUAUUAACAAGAAGAAUUGAACUUAUAAUGAAUCAAACAUCCUAUUACCUAGGAGAAUUGUGAAAGGAACAAAGAACGUAGUUGGUA